rnacentral:ncRNA from 2 species
AUCUUUGCGGCAGUUUUUGGUACCUACUCGCCUUAUUGGUGAAUGGUUUAAUAGGGAAUCCGGUGAAAAUCCGGAACUGUACCCGCAGCUGUAAGCUCCCAAAAGCAACUGGUAUCCAAGCCACUGUCCGCCAAUGCGGGUGGGAAGGCGCCAGGUGUGGAGCAAGUCAGAAGACCUGCCAACUACUGCAAUAUUCA